rnacentral:tRNA from 1 species
GCCUGUGUAGCUUAAUGGUAAAGCGAUUGCCUUGUAAGCAAUAUAUGGGGGUUCGACUCCCCACUCAGGCU